ACCGCCCGUCGCUACUACCGAUUGAAUGGCUCAGUGAGGCCUUCGGACUGGCCCAGGGAGGUGGGCAACCACCACCCAGGCGCCGGAAAGUUGUACGAACUCGGUCAUUUAGAGGAAGUAAAAGUCGUAACAAGGUCUCCGUUGGUGAACCAGCGGAGGGAUCAUUA
rnacentral:rRNA from 1 species